CCUGACUUGGGAAGGAGCAGGCUUGAUGCUUGGUGAGUUAUUUUAUAGCUCUGGGGGGGGGGUCAUUAGGGGCAGAUUGUUGACCCCACCCAUCAGUGUCCCAUGACUUUCUCCCAUGUUAAUGAGGGCCAUUCCCACCCCCCAAAUGAGGAAACAUUCAUAGGGAAAAUAUUGAGUAACCUGACUCUCAUAGUUUGAAAUCCCCUCAAUUCUUGGCAAUGUGUUUUGGACCUCGCAGGCAGCCCAUCGGUUGUGAUGACAAUCUUGCCUCUCUAAAUGAAACCAGUUUCCCAACAUUCUGCCACAACUAUAGCGCAGAGAUCGCCACAGGGUUGUCCUCUUGAUGUUGGGCGCCAGCUCCCAUCAGCCUCAACCAGAAUGGCCUGUGGUCAGGGCAGAUGGAAGUUGUAGUUGAACAGCACAAAGCACGCAGUGUGUUGUCUCUUAUUACUUAUGACGUUUAUUUGUCGCUUACAAAAACAUCUCAAAGCUGCUUACAAUUAUAAAAGCAGACGGGAUACAGUGGUACCUCGGGUUAAGAACUUAAUUCGUUCUGGAGGUCUGUUCUUAACCUGAAGCACCACUUCAGCUAAUGGGGCCUCCCACUGCUGCCGCCGCACAAUUUCUGUUCUCCUUCUGAAGCAAAGUUCUUAACCCAAGGUACUAUUUCUGGGUUAGCGGAGUCUGUAACCUGAAGCGUCUGUAACCAGAGGUACCACUGUACAAAGAUUUAAAAAUAUCACAAAGUUAAAAGGAGCAUUCAUUGCCUAAAUGUGCCCAUCCUUCAAAAACAUAAAAAUAACAAAUCUUUCCCCAUCAUACCAUUAUGGACUUGGGUAUAUCAUACCUUAUGACCACCAAUUAAAAGCCAAAUUUUAGGGUGAGCAGGAAUGACUUUUCCUGGCUAAGAAGUUGUUCCUAUGAUGGCACCAGGCAACUUUAUCUGAGGAGAGCAAGCCGCAAUUGGGGAGCCACCACUGAAAAGGCCCAUUCUUGUGUUGCCACCUGCCAAAUCUCUCUCAGAAGUGGGACAAGAAGCAGGGCCUCAGGUGAUGAACGUAGUCUGGCAUAAGCAAGCUAUGGAACCGGUGCCAGGGUUACACCAGGCAGGGGCAGACACAAUCCUUGGUGGAUCCCCUUCUAAAAUAUUGUCUGUUGGUGAAAGCAAGAUUUGAGGGAGAGGAGACCCUCAAUAGAGAGGCAGUGCACACAGGGGGCUGGGUCUUUCCUUGGACAAAGAGUCCAUAGUUCAGUGGUAGAGAACAUGGUUUGCAUGCAGAAGGACCCUAGUUAUAUUAUUUAGUAAUAUUAUUUAGUAAUUUAGUAAUAUUAUUUAGUAAUAUUAUUUAGUAGUAUUAUUAUUUAUUAAAUCUAUAUACCGCCCUAUACCCACAGGUCUCAAGGCCCUUUACAGAAUAAAAUCAAAAUAUAAAACUAUAAAUUCCAUAUUCAAAAUAAAAACAACAACCCAAUAACACUCCCCUCAAAAAAAAAAAAAAAAAAUUAAAAGGGCAUAGGAUGUUGAAUCAAAUCAACCAAAGGCCUGGUUAGAAAGGAAUGUUUUGGCCCAGCGUAUAAAGGUGUAUAAUGAAGGCACCAGUCGAACUUCCCUGAGGAAAGCAUUCCACAGACGGGGAGCCACUGCAGAGAAGGCCCGCUCUCGUGUUGCGGUCCUGAGUCAUUUAAUGUACGUAGCUGGUAAUGAGGCUGACAAAAUAGUCAGGGCUGGCACAAGCCAUUUUGCUGCCUGAGGCAAAGCAUCAAAUGGCAACCCUCAAGUCAUAGUACCCAAGAUCAACCAAGAUAUUUUGACAUCUGGGGCAGGACAUCCCACAAACGGUUCUAUCCCCUUCUAGGCAGCAGACGUACAGUGGUACCUCGGGUUACAUACGCUUCAGGUUACAUACGCUUCAGGUUACACACUCCGCUAACCCAGAAAUAGUGCUUCAGGUUAAGAACUUUGCUUUAGGAUAAGAACAGAAAUAGGGGUCCGGCGGCGCGGCGGCAGCAGGAGACCCCAUUAGGUAAAGUGGUGCUUCAGGUUAAGAACAGUUUCAGGUUAAGAAUGGUACUCCGGAACGAAUUAAGUACUUAACCCGAGGUACCACUGUACAUUAAAUGAUAAUAAUUUGCUGCCCUUUCAUGAGGCUUAAAUCAGUUGCCCGAGGCAGCCAUGUCCUAAUAGUUAGGACCAGUCCUGCUAGAUUUCUACAUUGUUUGAACCAACUUUUCAUUUUGGGCCAUAUGGGGAAAGUCCCAGACUUGAUCUCCAGUAUCUGUAGUUAGAAAAAGGAUCAGGUGAUGGGAAAGGCCUCUCUUGCCUGAGACCCCGGAAAGCAGGUCUAAAUCUGUGGUAGCAGUGCUCCUCCAAGGCACCUUCCUCUCUCUAGUCCUUUUGCCUGUCAGAAUGAGCGUUGGCUUUUCAACACUGCAGGUCAGAAACCUAUUCCAUCAGAGGAUGCCGUGGUUUCAGUGUUGCUGCCUCUGCCAAGUCCCAAAUGACUUCCUUGUGGCGUGUCACGAUGGCUUCUUGAUCCUAGUUAGUGCCAUUAUGUCUCCACCUCUGAAGAAGGAUGCCAACUGUCAUUCUAAAUUUAUUUUGCUUUGAGUGCUUGUUAUCACUGGCA